rnacentral:rRNA from 1 species
GAGAACGCUCCAGACUUAAUGAAGGAUCCAGCAGUAAUACUAGUCGUCGUUGUGCUUGCAACAUUGCAGACAGUUUGCAGAUUUGGAUUAGAUGUCAGAUACGAUGAUGUAUCUAAUGACCAGGUAUCAGUAUUAGUCUUUCUAAGUAGUCCGCUUGUUCCAGUCAAUCCAGCGAUCGCUGCAAGAUCAGCAUCAAGGCGGGCAGAAUUGAUUGUACCGCUAGUAAUCUGUUCACCGCUGAUGGACUUAUUAGUAAGCGUCUGUGAUCCGUUAAGAGUAACAAUGUCAGUCCCUGUGAUUCCAAGAACAGCGGUUGAUGUCAGAACGGCAGUAUUAUUGAUCUUAAACUGCUUUCCAGUCGGAAGGUUCCAAUGUUCGCUGGAUGUCCAGUUCGUGUUGGCAGAAUCCCACGUAAUCGUCUUAUCAGUGGCACCUUUCAGAGUAAUACCACCGCCGUUUGCAGUUGAGUCGCUGGCGGCCUCGGCACCAAAUGUAACUCCACCAGAUGCUAGGUGUGGACUCGUGACAGUAAAUUGAGUUAAAUUGUUAAUUGCAGCAACAGCAAUUGAAGCCGAACCAAAUAUACCUCCGCUUGAGUUUAUAUCCGUUAAACGUUGUCCAGGAAUUAAUCCGGUAGUAUUUCCGCUCGUAAGAUUUACGACAAUCGACCCGCUCGUGAGAGUCGCAGCCAUUCCUGUUUUUACAGGAACACUACCAAGCUCAAUGUUCUUAUCGUCAACCGUCACCGUAGAACUAUUGAUCGUAGUCGUUGUGCCAUUUACAAUCAAAUCCCCAGAAAGCGUAAGAUUAUUGAAUUGAACAUUGCUUGUUGUUCCAAUAUCUUGAGGCAGAGAAAGAGUAACAGCCCACUAGUCUAAACAAGCUCCUUUGCGCCCAAGAUGUAACGGGGCUAAAGCCAUGUACCGAAGACGCAGGUUUUGUUUUUAAACAAAGCGGUAGCGGAGCGUUCCAUAAGUCUGUGAAGUAGAAGCGUAAGCGACUAUGGAGAUAUUGGAAGUGAUUAUGCUGACAUAAGUAACGAUAAUGCGGGUGAAAAGCCCGCACGCCGAAAGUCCAAGGUUUCCUACGUUAAGUAAAUCUGCGUAGGGUUAGCCGGCACCUAAGGUAAACCCGAAGGGGGUAGCCGAUGGCAAUCAGGUUAAUAUUCCUGAGCUUGUAUAAAGUGACGGAGCAAACGUAUUGUUAGUGAUUAUUGGAUUUCACUGGCAGUGCAAUUGCUCACUAGAAAUAACUUAUACGAUAUAAGCCGUACCGCAAUCCGACACAGGUGGAUGGGUUGAAUAUACUAAGGCGUUCGAGAGAACUAUCUUGAAGGAACUAGGCAAUUUGCAUUCGUAACUUCGGGAGAAGAAUGACCCAAUUUUACGCAAGUAGAGUUGGGUGGCACAGAAAUGGGGGUAGCGACUGUUUACCAAAAACACAGGUCUAUGCAAACUCGUCUUAAGAGGAUGUAUAUGGACUGACGCCUGCCCGGUGCUAGAAGGUUAAGUGGAGUGGUGCAAGCUAUGAAAUGAAGCCCUAGUAAACGGCGGCCGUAACUAUGACGGUCCUAAGGUAGCGAAAUUCCUUGUCGGGUAAGUUCCGACCCGCACGAAUGGCGUAACGACUUCCCCACUGUCUCCAAGAUAGACUCGGUGAAAUUGGAUUUGCCGUGAAGAUACGGUAUACCCGCGGCUAGACGGAAAGACCCUAUGAACCUUUACUAUAACUUUGCAUUGGCUCAAAAGUAAGGAUGUGUAGGAUAGGUGGGAGACUAUGAAGCAAGAGCGCUAGCUUUUGUGGAGUCAACCUUGAAAUACCACCCUUCCUUCCUUUUGAUUCUAACCAUACUCGUUGAAUGACGAGAUGAGACAUUGCAUGGUGGGUAGUUUGACUGGGGCGGUCGCCUCCUAAAGCGUAACGGAGGUGCACAAUGGUAGGCUCAGUACGCUUGG